UACGUAGGGUCCGAGCGUUGUCCGGAGUUACUGGGCGUAAAGCGCGCGCAGGCGGCGGUGCUGGCCCGGCGUGAAAGCCCCCGGCUCAACCGGGGAGGGUCGUCGGGGACCGCACCGCUUGAGGGCGGUAGGGGCUGGUGGAAUGCCUGGUGUAGUGGUGAAAUGCGUAGAGAUCAGGCGGAACACCCGUGGCGAAAGCGGCUCUCUGGAACGGUACUGACGCUGAGACGCGAAAGCGUGGGGAGCGAACAGG
rnacentral:rRNA from 1 species